rnacentral:rRNA from 1 species
CGCGGCCUAUCAGCUUGUUGGUAAGGUAAUGGCUUACCAAGGCUAUGACGGGUAACUGGUCUGAGAGGAUGAUCAGUCGCGAUGGGACUGAGACACGGCCCAUACUCCUACGGGAGGCAGCAGUAAGGAAUCUUCCACAAUGGACGAAAGUCUGAUGGAGCAACACCGCGUGGUUGAUGAAGCCCCUUGGGGCGUAAAAACCUUUUCUGAGGGAAGAAUUCUGACGGUACCUCAGGAAUAAGCACCGGCUAACUCCGUGCCAGCAGCCGCGGUAAUACGUAGGGGGCAAGCGUUGUCCGGAUUCAUUGGGCGUAAAGAGCUCGUAGGCGGCUUGGCAAGUCGGUCGUGAAAUACCGAGGCUCAACCUCGGAACGCCGAUCGAAACUGCCAUGGCUAGGGUCCGGUAGAGGAGAGUGGAAUUCCCGGUGUAGCGGUGAAAUGCGCAGAUAUCGGGAGGAACACCAGUAGCGAAGGCGGCUCUCUGGGCCGGUACCGACGCUGAGGAGCGAAAGCGUGGGGAGCAAACAGGAUUAGAUACCCUGGUAGUCCACGCCGUAAACGUUGGGUACUAGGUGUGGCGGGUUCAUCAAUGCCCGCCGUACCGAAGCUAACGCAUUAAGUACCCCGCCUGGGGAGUACGG